AUUGAACGCUGGCGGCAGGCCUAACACAUGCAAGUCGAACGAGUGGCGGAAGGAUGAGUAAUGUCUGGGAAACUGCCUGAGGGUAGGGUAUGACAACUGGAAACGGUAGCUAAUACCGCAUACCGUCGCAUGGGCCCAGAUGGGAUUAGCUAGUUGGUGGGGUAAAGGCUCACCAAGGCGACGAUCCGUAGCUGGUCUGAGAGGAUGACAAGCCACACUGGAACUGAGACACGGUCCAGACUCCUACGGGAGGCAGCAGUGGGGAAUAUUGCACAAUGGGCGCAAGUCUGAUCCAGCCAUGCCGCGUGUAUGAAGAAGGCCUUCGGGUUGUAAAGUACUUUCAGCGGGGAGGCGUUACCCGCAGAAGAAGCACCGGCUAACUUCGUGCCAGCAGCCGCGGUAAUAC
rnacentral:rRNA from 1 species